rnacentral:rRNA from 1 species
UACAGAGGUGGCAAGCGUUGUUCGGAAUUACUGGGCGUAAAGGGCGCGUAGGCGGUCUUUUAAGUCUUGUGUGAAAUCCCUCGGCUCAACUGAGGAACUGCACGGGAUACUGGAAGACUUGAGUUCGGGAGAGGGAAGCGGAAUUCCGGGUGUAGCGGUGAAAUGCGUAGAUAUCCGGAGGAACACCGGUGGCGAAGGCGGCUCACUGGACCACAACUGACGCUGAUGCGCGAAAGCUAGGGGAGCAAACAGG